rnacentral:rRNA from 1 species
AUUGAACGCUGGCGGCAGGCCUAACACAUGCAAGUCGAACGAGUGGCGGACGGGUGAGUAAUGCCUGGGAAUCUUGCUUAUGGAGGGGGAUAACUACGGGAAACUGUAGCUAAUACCGCGUACCAUAGGAUGAGCCCAAGUGGGAUUAGGUAGUUGGUGUGGUAAAGGCUCACCAAGCCGACGAUCCCUAGCUGGUCUGAGAGGAUGACCAGCCACACUGGAACUGAGACACGGCCCAGACUCCUACGGGAGGCAGCAGUGGGGAAUAUUGCGCAAUGGGAGCAAGCCUGACGCAGCCAUGCCGCGUGUAUGAAGAAGGCCUUCGGGUUGUAAAGUACUUUCAGCGGGGAGGCGUUACCCACAGAAGAAGCACCGGCUAACUCCGUGCCAGCAGCCGCGGUAAUUC